rnacentral:rRNA from 1 species
UACGAAGGGGGCUAGCGUUGUUCGGAAUCACUGGGCGUAAAGCGCACGUAGGCGGCUCGGUAAGUCGGGGGUGAAAGCCUGAGGCUCAACCUCGGAACUGCCUUCAAGACUGGAGGGCUUGAGGUCGGGAGAGGUGAGUGGAAUUCCGAGUGUAGAGGUGAAAUUCGUAGAGAUUGGGAAGAACACCAGUGGCGAAGGCGGCUCACUGGCCCGUAACUGACGCUGAGGUGCGAAAGCGUGGGGAGCAAACAGG